GAUAAACGCUGGCGGCGCACAUAAGACAUGCAAGUCGAACGGACUUAAUCGAUUCUUUUAGAUUCGAAGCGGUUAGUGGCGGACUGGUGAGUAACACGUAAGCAACCUGCCUGUUAGAGGGGAAUAACAGUGAGAAAUCACUGCUAAAACCGCAUAUGCCGUGAACAUCGCAUGAUGAAAACGGGAAAAGAGCAAUCUGCUAAUAGAUGGGCUUGCGUCUGAUUAGCUAGUUGGUGUGGUAAAGGCAUACCAAGGCAACGAUCAGUAGCCGGACUGAGAGGUUGAACGGCCACAUUGGGACUGAGAUACGGCCCAGACUCCUACGGGAGGCAGCAGUCGGGAAUAUUGCGCAAUGGAGGAAACUCUGACGCAGUGACGCCGCGUAUGGGAAGAAGGUUUUCGGAUUGUAAACCAUUUUAGACAAGGAAGAAACAAGACAGUACUUUGUAGAAUAAGCUCCGGCUAACUACGUGCCAGCAGCCGCGGUAAUACGUAGGGAGCAAGCGUUAUCCGGAUUUAUUGGGUGUAAAGGGUGCGUAGACGGGAAGGUAAGUUAGUUGUGAAAUCCCUCGGCUCAACUGAGGAACUGCGACUAAAACUGCUUUUCUUGAGUGCUGGAGAGGAAAGUGGAAUUCCUAGUGUAGCGGUGAAAUGCGUAGAUAUUAGGAGGAACACCAGUGGCGAAGGCGACUUUCUGGACAGUAACUGACGUUGAGGCACGAAAGUGUGGGGAGCAAACAGGAUUAGAUACCCUGGUAGUCCACACCGUAAACGCU
rnacentral:rRNA from 1 species